GGCGGCGGACUUAUAGGAAUCUUAGGGUUUCGGAGUUUUUGCUGGCUGGAACGGUGACGGCGACUGCUGUUGUUGUCGGAUGCGGAUUCGACAGGUUGGAUUGAUUGGGUUUGAUUGUAGAUGAUGAGCAAAGCGUUCCAGAAUCAAAAACACUGCUCUGAUACCAUGUUGAUUGGUAUAGAGAAUGAACUAGGGUUUGAAUUGUAUUGAUUAAGAAUUGUAUUGAACCUCAAAAAUAGGGUUACAAGAAUGGUGAUUAUAUAGGACACCACUUUACAUACAAGCCCCUACACUAUCUAUUAAUCUCAUUUCUGACAUGUUGUCGCACCUUUGGUCCGACCUUUCAGUUGUUUUAUUGUCAUUGGUUCACUAGGUCAGUCAUCAGUGUAGUUUUGUUGAGCCAUGUCAGUGCGUUGGUGUGAAGGAGGACUCGCAUUGGUUCACCAAAGAGUAUUGCAGCCGCAGAUCCAUGUCGUCAGAGAUUGUCAUGUGCACGCGGGGCGGGGGGGGGGGGGGGGUGUACGUAAUUGUUUGCUGAACUGAAUAUCAAACUUUUGUUAUGACAAUCUUUGAUACCAACUUGAGACUCCAAUGACAUUUAUAACAUAUAUUAUUCUGAU
rnacentral:lncRNA from 1 species